GAAAAUUUUAGUAAAUUAUAGUCAAUUUUUAUGCAAUGAAACUAUAUAGCUCUUUUUGUUAGAAAUUGUCUUACUAACUAAGCUGCUGGUGGUUCUGUGACGAAGUAGCUCCUGUUGGCUUCCCUUACACCGGGUCAGACACAGGACAUUAAUUAAGGCUGUGUGUGGUGUUUCUGAAAGGUGAGGAGACUGGGCAUUCUGUCUUUUACUCUACAGAUACAUCGUGGGAGACUCAAAGAUUAAAAUGUGGCCACUCACUGUGGAUCAGAAGCAGAAUCUCACAUCAUAACCCCAAAUGACCUGUUACUCACCAUGUGGCCCAGCUGUCUUCAAACUCACCAGCCUCCUGCCUUAGCCUUCUAAAUGCUUGGAUUACAGGCAUGACCCACCAUAACUGGCUUUGUUUUAGUUUCAGAGAAGAUGAAACUGAUGUGCGUCAAAAAGUUAUGGAGGCUGGGAAGACCUAGAAUGUGGCAUCACUAUUUGCUGAAAUUUUUAAUAUAAUGCCUCUUAGCCUGGUUUGGAGAAAACGUCACAGAGAGGCACCAUUUGUUGUGGUUUUACAUGAAAAUUUUCUGACCCUGAACCUGGUUUGAUGGAAAUCAUUUGCUGAGGAAACCAUGCCGAUUACCGACCGAGCUCUCAAUGGAAAAAUGCAGUCGGCGUGAACCACGCACGAACACAGCAGAGAAAGAAGAAAACACACACCACGAGGAACCCUAAUAGGACAAUACAUUAUAAGCCUCAUGGUACAUCCACUUGGUGUGCUGGGAGAGUCAGGAUGAGGACCUGAGAAGAACAGCAGCUUGAACCUGACUUCAUUUAACAGCCCACUGCCCUCUUGCCAAGAACCCAUCACAGACCUUCCCAGAAGAGAGGGAUGAGCCUCACCUAUGAAUAAGUCCUCAGAAACUCAAAUUUGAUUCUAAUGGAUUGUUUUCUCAGAAAGACUGAGCAUGUCCCCCCACAUCUCUGUCAUUUCCCACAGUAGUAACCUCUGCAGAUGCCACAUAGAAAACAAAACAAAACAAAAAAACAUGAGGUUGGUGGGCAGAUAGGCAGGGUAUAAACAAACAGCCUUGUAACCCAGAAGCUGUGUGAUAUACAGUAAACUUCACAACACUGAAAAGAUGUCCUAUCUGUUAAAAUGGGGUAAUAACAACUACCCGAAUGUUUAGGAAUAGAACUUCAAUAAAUGAUACAUUUUAUAGUACAGCAGACCAUCCUGUAAAGGUUUCAUCCUUCACUGUGGUGAUAAAUAUCCCAAACCACAUUGAAAAGCAUUGCAUCUACAUUUAUCUACACUGUAACUGUACUGUAAAUCAUGGGGGAGGGGAGAAUCAUAAAAACACCACCUGUCACCGUGUCAUUAAAGCAAGUUGGAAGUGAUACUUACAGAAACACAGCAAGAGCACCCCCAGUCACACAGUUCAAUCUCUUAGCAAGCGUUUUCUUUCUAGCCCAGUGGUUCUCAGUUUGGAAUUUUUGGCACUGCCUAGAGAUAGUUUUGUUGUUAAAACUGAGAAAAGAGCCGGGCGUGGUGGCACACGCCUUUAAUCCCAGCACUCAGGAGGCAGAGGCAGG
rnacentral:lncRNA from 1 species